GUCACUAUAGCUCAGUUGGUUAGAGCGCGGUGCUGGUAACAGCAAGGUUGCAGGUUCGAUCCCCGUAUGGGACA
rnacentral:tRNA from 1 species